CCUACGGGUGGCAGCAGUGAGGAAUAUUGGUCAAUGGACGAGAGGCUGAACCAGCCAAGUCGCGUGAGGGAAGACGGCCCUACGGGUUGUAAACCUCUUUUGUCGGGGAGCAAAGCGAGCCACGUGUGACUCAUUGAGUGUACCCGAAGAAAAAGCAUCGGCUAACUCCGUGCCAGCAGCCGCGGUAAUACGGAGGAUGCGAGCGUUAUCCGGAUUUAUUGGGUUUAAAGGGUGCGCAGGGGGAGGUGCAAGUCAGCGGUCAAAUUGCGGGGCUCACCCCCGUACUGCCGUUGAAACUGCAUGCCUUGAGUGCACGAGAGGUAUGCGGAAUGCGUGGUGUAGCGGUGAAAUGCAUAGAUAUCACGAAGAACUCCGAUUGCGAAGGCAGCAUACCGGCGCGCAACUGACGCUCAUGCACGAAAGCGUGGGUAUCGAACAGGAUUAGAUACCCGUGUAGUC
rnacentral:rRNA from 1 species